GCUUGACUCUAGUCCGAC
rnacentral:snRNA from 1 species